rnacentral:rRNA from 1 species
AGCGAACGCUGGCGGCAGGCCUAACACAUGCAAGUCGAGGGGUAGAGGAAGCUUGCUUCCUUGAGACCGGCGCACGGGUGCGUAACGCGUAUGCAAUCUACCUUUUACAGAGGGAUAGCCCAGAGAAAUUUGGAUUAAUACCUCAUAGUAUAUAUCAUUCGCAUGUUUGGUAUAUUAAAGUUCCAACGGUAAAAGAUGAGCAUGCGUCCCAUUAGUUAGUUGGUAAGGUAACGGCUUACCAAGACGAUGAUGGGUAGGGGUCCUGAGAGGGAGAUCCCCCACACUGGUACUGAGACACGGACCAGACUCCUACGGGAGGCAGCAGUGAGGAAUAUUGGUCAAUGGACGCAAGUCUGAACCAGCCAUGCCGCGUGCAGGAAGACGGUCCUAUGGAUUGUAAACUGCUUUUGUACGGGAAGAAACACUCCUACGUGUAGGAGCCUGACGGUACCGUAAGAAUAAGGAUCGGCUAACUCCGUGCCAGCCGCCGCAGUAAUAC